GAUGAACGCUGGCGGCGUGCCUAAUACAUGCAAGUCGAGCGAACAGACGAGGAGCUUGCUCCUUCGACGUUAGCGGCGGACGGGUGAGUAACACGUAGGUAACCUACCUAUAAGACUGGGAUAACUUCGGGAAACCGGAGCUAAUACCGGAUAAUAUUUCGAACCGCAUGGUUCGAUAGUGAAAGAUGGCUUUGCUAUCACUUAUAGAUGGACCUGCGCCGUAUUAGCUAGUUGGUAAGGUAACGGCUUACCAAGGGAACGAUACGUAGCCGACCUGAGAGGGUGAUCGGCCACACUGGAACUGAGCCACGGUCCAGACUCCUACGGGAGGCCGCAGUAGGGAAUCUUCCGCAAUGGGCGAAAGCCUGACGGAGCAACGCCGCGUGAGUGAUGAAGGUCUUCGGAUCGUAAAACUCUGUUAUUAGGGAAGAACAAACGUGUAAGUAACUGUGCACGUCUUGACGGUACCUAAUCAGAAAGCCACGGCUAACUACGUG
rnacentral:rRNA from 1 species